rnacentral:rRNA from 1 species
CAGCAUUUGCAGGUAAUCAGCCUUUUGGGUGCGAUUAUGUGGAGCGUGACGAGUUAAUCACCCUCAUCUUUGCAUAUUUGUGCACUUUGGGUGUACUUGCUCGUGUGGUAGGUUAACAUCAAUUUUGAUCGUCAUAAAAUGAUCGGGGGAAUGUAGCUUCGAUCUUGUAUUGAAGUGUUAUAGCCUUCGGUAGAUGUGAUGAUUGGGAUUGAGGAUUGCAACGGAUACCCUUCGGGGCUACCUGUCUGAUCUCUGAAAGUUGCUCUGGUGCCGAAAGCUCGCUUACGGUAUUAAAGUUGACGUUCAACAGGUUAGAACGGGAUAAA